rnacentral:rRNA from 1 species
UACGUAGGGUGCGAGCGUUGUCCGGAAUUAUUGGGCGUAAAGAGCUUGUAGGCGGUUUGUCGCGUCUGCUGUGAAAACUCGGGGCUCAACCCCGAGCCUGCAGUCGAUACGGGCAGACUAGAGUGCGGUAGGGGAGACUGGAAUUCCUGGUGUAGCGGUGAAAUGCGCAGAUAUCAGGAGGAACACCGGUGGCGAAGGCGGGUCUCUGGGGCCGAUACUGACGCUGAGGAGCGAAAGCGUGGGGGAGCGAACAGG